CUUCAUGGUCAGCAGAUUCUUUCCUGUCUGCUGCUGCUAAGUUGCUUCAGUUGUGUCCAACUCUGUGAGACCCCAUAGAUGGCAGCCCCCCAGGCUCCUCUGUCCCUGGGAUUCUCCAGGCAAGAACACUGGAGUGGGUUGCCAUUUCCUUCUCCAAUGCAUGAAAGUGAAAAGUGAAAGUGAAGUCUCUCAGUCGUGUCCGAAUCUUCGCGACCCCAUGGACUGCAGCCUACCAGGCUCCUCCGUCCAUGGGAUUUUCCAGGCAAGAGUACUGGAGUGGGUUGCCAUUAGUUACUGUCUGAGCCACCUUAAUAAUAACAUGAAAGAGCAGGGGUCCUUCAUCUCCCUCUAAGGUGCCCCAAACUGACACACUCACCUGCUCUACAACCACUGGUGGACGUUUGUGCAGAAAGUGCAAGUCUCUCAGUUGUGUCUGACUCUUUGUGACCCCAUGGACUAUACAGUCCAUGGAGUUCUCCAGGACAGAAUACUGGAGUGGGUAGCCUUUCCCUUCUCCAGGGGAAUCUUCCCAACAGGAGCAGGACUUUACCGCAUGUUGGUCACGACCCAGAACACAUGGUUCUGGAAGCCCCGCGGCCAGGUGGCAUCAGCAGAUGGUUGGAAUGGUUUCUGAGCUGGGAGGUGGCUGGCUCUGGACUCCUGUGGCUGCACCAGGAACCAGAGGCAGAAGAGGCUCAGCUAAGCAUAUCACCGGCCGGCCGGAGAGACGGCGACAGACAUCGGCCUCAUCCAUGCCAGUCUGGCUGUUACUCCGCCAAUUGAUUGUCUGAUUAAAACUCGGCAUGCUCACUUGAAAUGGGACAUUGACCCCCCAAAGACAUACUGUUCAGAAGGCGUGUUAGGGUCAGGGCUGGCCUGGAGCCCCACCGUUUCUGACAACAGGGUCUGUUCUGUCCUCUGAACUUUCCAUAAAUAGAAAUCUGUC
ensembl:lncRNA